GGCAGAGCUUUGCAAGACAGGAUGGGUGAGUUUAUUAAGGGGGUUGACUUACUGGGAUUACUAGAGAAGAAAAAGGUUUGACUAGAGAGGCUAGAAAUGGAGCAUGGAGAUUGUGGGUAGAACAUUCCCUUGACCCUCUCGCCAACACAUGCCCACACACCAGGUUAGCAGUUUACCUCUUUGUAAAUCUGAAGCGGUGGUAGUAGUGAUGGUGGAAGG
rnacentral:lncRNA from 1 species